CCUACGGGAGGCAGCAGUGGGGAAUAUUGCACAAUGGGGGAAACCCUGAUGCAGCGACGCCGCUUAAGCGAUGAAGUAUUUCGUUAUGUAAAGCUCUAUCAGCAGGGACGAAAAUGACGGUACCUUACUACGCCUCCCCGGCUAACUCCGUGCCAGCAGCCGCGGUAAUACGUAGGGGGCAAUCGUUCUCCGGAUUUCCUGGGUGUAAAGGGAGCGUAGACGGCUGUGCAAGCCAGAUGUGAAAGCCCGGGGCUCAACCCCGGGACUGCAUUUGGAACUGUGUGGCUGGAGUGUCGGAGAGGCAGGCGGAAUUCCUAGUGUAGCGGUGAAAUGCGUAGAUAUUAGGAGGAACACCAGUGGCGAAGGCGGCCUGCUGGACGAUGACUGACGUUGAGGCUCGAAAGCGUGGGGAGCAAACAGGAUUAGAUACCCCUGUAGUC
rnacentral:rRNA from 1 species